GCCUAACCUGUAUUUUAUCACCCUUGAUAAUUGUGAUCUUGAUGGAGAGGAACUAGCACCUGGGGGUGGAGACGUGCCGUUUGCUAGUUUUUGUGAAGAACUUCUUCAAGAUUAAUUUAACCAGCCUACUGACUAGUUCUCAACUGGAGGGCAUAUUCAAAGAGCUCAGAAAUAUCCCUGGAAUCACAAGGAAGUCUGAGAACAGAGACCACUGGGUAACUGUGGGCUGUAUCCCGGCCAUGGUGUAUUCUCUCUGCCCCAGGAGGCUUUUCUUUGACCUCCUCUCCAGGAUGCUUUCAGAUCCCAGCCUCAACUCAGGGAUUACUAGCCUGGAAGACUGAGCACGCUCUCAGUGAGUUUGCUGCUGCUGCUGCUGCUGAAUUGAGGGGAGCAGUCACUACGCAGGAGGGCAGGGCUGCCAUUUGGAGUGGGGUGUACAGCCUGAAGAAACGAACCUACAGGCUGCUGAAAUGAACCUAAUGAAAUUCAGCAAAAAGCAAACGAGUCCAACAUUUCGCAUGGGAACAGCCCAUGGAUCAGUACGGGCUGGGGGAAGGUACUGCAGUGCAGCUUCCUAGAAGACGACACAGGGAUGCCUGGUGAGCAAGCUGAGCACGAGCCACAGUGCACCUUGCAGCACACAAGGCCAAGGGCCUCCUGGGCUGUGUUAGCAAGAGCAUAGCCAGGAGGUUGAGCGAGCUGGUUCUUCCACUCCCUUCAGCACCUGAGGGACCACACGCCCGAGUGCUUAGCUGUGGGCUCCCAGACAAAUCCUAAGGGCUGCCAUAGGUCAGGGGCUGGCACAAGUGGCCUAUUUUCAGCCUGGAAAAGAGAAGGCAUAAGGAGAUCAACAGCUACGUUAGAGGAGGGUGUAGAGAAGGCGGAGAAGACACUUUUCUCCAGUAUGCACUAUGGAAAAAUAAACAGCAAUGUACCUGAGUGCAUAUAAAAAAUUUUGGCCCAGCAUAAGGGAGAAAUAUUUACCUCUGUCAGUGUCAAACUUGGCAAAGGUUGCCCAGAGAGAUUGUAGUCCCCAUCCUUGCAGAUAAUGAAAAUGUGAGGAGAAGUGGCGUGGGGUACUGUGCUCCAGGUGGACCUGCUCUGAGGAGGGUGGAUUACAGACCGCUCUAGUCUGGGACCUCGGGGGGUCCCUUCCAACCUACACCAUUGUACGGCGAGCUGGAGCCCUGCUUUCAGCUGGGAGUUAGUUUUCUUCCUAGUAGCUAGUAUAGUGCUGUGUUUUGGAUUUAGGAUGAGAGUCAUGCUGACAACACACUGACGUUUUAGUUGUUGCUGAGCAGCACUCCUGCUAAGGCAAGGAUUCUUUCAGCUUCUCAUGCUGCCUCACCAGCGAGGAAGCUGGGAGAGGACACAGCCGGGACAGCUGGCCCCAGCUGACCCAAGGGAUAUGCCACACCGUAUGACACAGUGCUCAGCAUAUAAACUGGGGGGAGGGCUGGCUAGGGGCCGCUGCUCGGGAACUGGUCUAGUGGUAAUGAGCAAUUGUUUUUCAUUUGCAUCAC